GUUUACGGCCAUACCAGCCUGGGUACGCCCGAUCUCGUCUGAUCUCGGAAGCUAAGCAGAGUCGGGCCUGGUUAGUACUUGGAUGGGAGACCUCCUGGGAAUACCAGGUGCUGUAAGCU
rnacentral:rRNA from 1 species